AGUCGUAUGGUCUAAUGGUUAUGAUUUCUCGUUCACAUUACAUGUGUACUUUGUCCCGAGAAGGUUCCGUGUUCGAUCCACGGUACGACUA